rnacentral:rRNA from 1 species
GACGAACCGAGCGAACGUUGUUCGGAAUCACUGGGCUUAAAGGGCGCGUAGGCGGGUGCUCAAGUCCGUGGUGAAAUCCUCCGGCUCAACCGGAGAACUGCCUCGGAUACUGGGCGUCUCGAGUGUGGUAGGGGUAUGCGGAACUAUCGGUGGAGCGGUGAAAUGCGUAGAUAUCGCUUGGAACGCCGAAGGUGAAAACAGGCUGCUGGGGUUGUGCCGACGCUGAGACACGAAAGCCAGGGGAGCAAACGGG